ACUUAGAAGACGGCCUGACCCAGAAUAACACUAAUGUUCACAUGGCUGCGAGUCUCAGACCAAAAUCAAUAGCCGGUAUCUACUGAAACUGCAGCAAGGCGAAACCACGGGAAUGGCGCUCCGUUGAGUAGAGCAACGCACAGCACAUCACAUCGCAUCCUCCGUAGCGGGAGGCUCUGGCCUCACCGCAGCGGCACUUCCCGGAAGAGCCCAGGAUAUUCGGGGACCCGCACCGGACAGGCGGCCCAGGCCCCCUGGCGCCCAGCUGGCCGCCCUGUUGCAGCUCUCAUGCCAAGACCUGCGCCUAACGGCAGGGAUUCCGGCGGUCAUCAUUUAUUCUUGGCGCUAAGCUGCCGCUUCUCUUUUUUAUCACCACAGAGUAACGCAGACCCCACCGUUUCCUUCCAUUCUGAGCCAACCACUCCAGCAGCCACCGGGGCGCCAGGUUAUGCUGGGGCUGCACCACCCGGCCCGAGGCUUUUGAAGCCACGCCUGAGCGCGGAGGAUGGGCAGGAUUUGCCCCGUGAACUCCCGCGCACGCAGGCUCCGCGCGAGGCCCGGGCGCCCGAGCGGCGAUUCCCUCCCCUAUCACCAGCUCCAGGGUGGUGCCCCCCGGCUGUGGAGCCCAGACCCCGGCCGUCCAGCAGCGUAUAGACGAGCCCAUGUCUGCGAUGUAACUGCACCGCGCUGGGGAUCCACCUCCCGCCAGGGUGAGGGCGCCGUCCUCCAGCGUAUGCUAGGCAGGCGCGCCCCGCCCUCCUGGUCACGUGACCACGCCUACAGCCGAAGAGGAUGGGAAAAUGCGGCCCUGUUCCUGAACAGGAAGCGGAAGCAGGAAGGAACUGAGAACACCAGCAUCUGCUGCCGCCCUGAAUCAGCGUUAGCAUGUGGAGGCAACCUCAGCCCCCAGUUUUUGAAGAAGGUGAUUCAGAUUCAGACACAGGAAUUAUGGUGACGGUAGAAAUGGACUGGAAGGUUCGUUCCCCUUGCCCACCAAGACUCCAGAGCAGGUGGGUUCUUGAUGUCUACUCUGCAUGAAGCCCUGGGCUUUCCGGCCCUCCCUACUUUUCCUCCGAAUUCACAGCACAGCGGAGCCAAAAUGUAUUCCUGCCAAAACGGGCAUUUCCCAAAAGAAAAUAUUGUUUUAG
rnacentral:lncRNA from 1 species